rnacentral:rRNA from 1 species
GCAAGUCGAGCGCACCCUUCGGGUCGAGCGGCGCACGGGUUAGUAACGCCUGGCAAUGUACCCAGAUCUACGGAAUAGCCAUUGGAAACGAUGAGUAAUACCGUAUACGCCCUUCGGGGGAAAGAUUUAUCGGAUUUGGAUCAGCCCGCGUUAGAUUAGAUAGUUGGUGGGGUAACGGCCUACCAAGUCUACGAUCUAUAGCUGGUUUGAGAGGAUGAUC